GACGAACGCUGGCGGCGUGCUUAACACAUGCAAGUCGAACGGAAAGGCCUGCUUUCCCUUGUGGAUUGCGGGUACUCGAGUGGCGAACGGGUGAGUAACACGUGAGUGAUCUGCCCCCAACUUGGGUAUAAGCCUGGGAAACUGGGUCUAAUUCCCGAUAGGACUGCAGGGUGGUGCCUGUGGUGGAAAACGAUUUUCUAGUGGUUGGGGAUGAGCUCGCGGCCUAUCGGCUUGUUGGUGGGGUAAUGGCCUACCAAGGCGGCGACGGGUAGCCGGCCUGAGAGGGUGGACGGCCACAUUGGGACUGAGAUACGGCCCAGACUCCUACGGGAGGCAGCAGUGGGGAAUAUUACACAAUGGGCGGAAGCCUGAUGCAGCGACGCCGCGUGGGGGAUGACGGCCUUCGGGUUGUAAACUCCUUUCGACCGCGAGGAAGCCACCUGGUUGGAAGGGUGGUGACGGUAGUGGUAGAAGAAGCACCGGCUAACUACGUG
rnacentral:rRNA from 1 species